AUAAAUAAACAUUAAAAAAAGAGGCUCCUACUUUAUAAGGUCUUUUGAGAAAGCAACCACAUGAUCUGUCAUGUGACAUAAAUAAGGUAGCUAAAGUCAUUCAUAUAUAGGCUGCUUCAGAAAGUUAAUCCUCCCUAGCGAGCUGCUAGACAGUUUUGCAAGAACAUUCAAGUUGAUAGUGAUGGGCUCUAUGGAAAAGGGGCCGGUGAAGGAGCUAAGCUGAUUUCUUCAUAUGCGAAGACUAGGAGACUCCCUAUUUAUGGAAUAAAAAUGUGCAUUUUCCCCAACACACGCCAUGCCUCCAGCUCAGGUUGGUUAAGAUCGUGUCUAUAUCAUUUUCUGCCGUUGUCAUGAUUUUCCCCGAAGUGCUGGCUGAGCCUCUCCGUUGUUGGCUGGGAUAUUAGUCGUGAGGAGCCCAGGCUGCAGGAAAGCUGGUCAUGAUGUGCAUUAGGGCACAAGUCACAGUUCUCGGUGCCUGAUCGCUUCCUUUCACCGAGGAGGCUGCUGGCGUCGCGCAGCUCUCGGGGGUUGUCUGUUCGCAGCGACUAUUUUACUCAGAGCUUAUGAUCUGCUCUGCUCUUGGUGUUCAUGUUAAAACAAGACAAGCCUUGUCAUCGGUGAUUAAUUUCCUCAAUUUGUACUUUCUAGUUAAUGAGAACACACCCCACUGCCACUCUUCAAUUCCUGGAAAAGUUUUGGAGAAUAGUUUAAGAUAGCAUUGAGAAUAAAUGAUCUCUUAGACAGAAACGCCAAUCUUGACAGAAACCUGUUCAUUUACAUUCUCUCUCAAGUAACCGCUAGAAACAUCUGCUUUUUUCAGCUCCUUUCCAUAUCGGUGGAGGCAGUUUAAUGUGGACUAGAUAGCUAUGAUGUUGGACUUGACCUUCCGCUGGUAUUUAGAGCUAUUUUUCCUAGGGGAUAUAAUGAUCUAUGGAAUAGGGAAGAGUCUGAUCUUGAGGGUGGUUUUU